rnacentral:rRNA from 1 species
AAAUACCUCUUGGUUUGAGGACUGUCGUGCGCAAGCCGGCUUUCCUUGCACUUUCCAGUCUAUGUUUUAUAAUAUACACCUAAAGUAUGUUUCAGAAUGUCAUUUAAUGGGCAUAACUGCCUUUAAUUACCAUACAACUUUCAACAACGGAUCUCUUGGCUCUCGCAUCGAUGAAGAACGCAGCGAAAUGCGAUAAGUAAUGUGAAUUGCAGAAUUCAGUGAAUCAUCGAAUCUUUGAACGCACCUUGCGCUCCUUGGUAUUCCGAGGAGCAUGCCUGUUUGAGUGUCAUUAAAUUCUCAACCUUUUCAAUCUUUUAUUGGUUGAAUUAGGUUUGGAUGUGGGAGUCUUUUUGCUGGCUUCUUUAAGAGGUCGGCUCUCCUUAAAUUUAUUAGCAGGACCUUUGUUGCCCUCUCAGUGUUAGUGUGAUAAUUAUCUACGCUAUUUGCUGAAAGCAACUCAUAAAAUAGGGGUU